rnacentral:rRNA from 1 species
UACGAAGGGUGCAAGCGUUACUCGGAAUUACUGGGCGUAAAGCGUGCGUAGGUGGUUUCUUAAGUCCGUUGUGAAAGCCCUGGGCUCAACCUGGGAAUGGCAGUGGAUACUGGGAAGCUAGAGUGCGGUAGAGGAUGGUGGAAUUCCCGGUGUAGCGGUGAAAUGCGUAGAGAUCGGGAGGAACAUCAGUGGCGAAGGCGGCCAUCUGGACCAGCACUGACACUGAGGCACGAAAGCGUGGGGAGCAAACAGG